rnacentral:rRNA from 1 species
AACGAACGCUGGCGGCAUGCCUAACACAUGCAAGUCGAACGAAGUCUUCGGACUUAGUGGCGCACGGGUGCGUAACGCGUGGGAAUCUGCCUUUGGGUUCGGAAUAACAGUGAGAAAUUACUGCUAAUACCGGAUGAUGUCUUCGGACCAAAGAUUUAUCGCCCAAAGAUGAGCCCGCGUAAGAUUAGCUAGUUGGUGAGGUAAAGGCUCACCAAGGCGACGAUCUUUAGCUGGUCUGAGAGGAUGAUCAGCCACACUGGGACUGAGACACGGCCCAGACUCCUACGGGAGGCAGCAGUGGGGAAUAUUGGACAAUGGGCGAAAGCCUGAUCCAGCAAUGCCGCGUGAGUGAUGAAGGCCUUAGGGUUGUAAAGCUCUUUUACCAGGGAUGAUAAUGACAGUACCUGGAGAAUAAGCUCCGGCUAACUCCGUGCCAGCAGCCGCGGUAAUACGGAGGGAGCUAGCGUUGUUCGGAAUUACUGGGCGUAAAGCGUACGUAGGCGGUUAUUCAAGUCAGAGGUGAAAGCCCGGGGCUCAACCCCGGAACUGCCUUUGAAACUAGAUAACUUGAAUCUUGGAGAGGCGAGUGGAAUUCCGAGUGUAGAGGUGAAAUUCGUAGAUAUUCGGAAGAACACCAGUGGCGAAGGCGACUCGCUGGACAAGUAUUGACGCUGAGGUACGAAAGCGUGGGGAGCAAACA